GUCGACGGGUAGCCGGCCUGAGAGGGUGACCGGCCACACUGGGACUGAGACACGGCCCAGACUCCUACGGGAGGCAGCAGUGGGGAAUAUUGCACAAUGGGCGGAAGCCUGAUGCAGCAACGCCGCGUGAGGGAUGACGGCCUUCGGGUUGUAAACCUCUUUUAGCAAGGAAGAAGCGAAAGUGACGGUACUUGCAGAAAAAGCGCCGGCUAACUACGUGCCAGCAGCCGCGGUAAUACGUAGGGCGCAAGCGUUAUCCGGAAUUAUUGGGCGUAAAGAGCUCGUAGGCGGUUUGUCGCGUCUGCUGUGAAAUCCCGAGGCUCAACCUCGGGCCUGCAGUGGGUACGGGCAGACUAGAGUGCGGUAGGGGAGAUUGGAAUUCCUGGUGUAGCGGUGGAAUGCGCAGAUAUCAGGAGGAACACCGAUGGCGAAGGCAGAUCUCUGGGCCGUAACUGACGCUGAGGAGCGAAAGGGUGGGGAGCAAACAGGCUUAGAUACCCUGGUAGUCCACCCCGUAAACGUUGGGAACUAGUUGUGGGGUCCUUUCCACGGAUUCCGUGACGCAGCUAACGCAUUAAGUUCCCCGCC
rnacentral:rRNA from 1 species